UGUCCGGAUGAGAGGCUCUUGUAUACGCUGGUUUGCUUGGUGUUCUCCGCGCAGACCCCUGAUGCUUUCUGCCUUGGUUUUCACUAAAAGUUCUUCCCCAGCAAAAGUUGUUGAGUACAAUGCUAGCUAGGUUACGGUGGUGUUUGUGCACAUCCUUGGAGAAAGAAGAAGUUGCCCGGUGCUGUGAAUCCCCACGCGAAGUGUCGGUGUGUGUAACAAUUCUGGAACGCUCUACUGACCGUAGUGGAGGCAGGACCUGCCUGGAUCUAGGUUACAAACCGGUUCUUUGGAUCACCAAAUGAGGUCUGGGAGCUCUUUUCUUGGGGCUAAAGCGGCUGGAACGUGAAGGUAUCGUGUAAUUUCGUCAAAUUCUUGAGGGAGAGAGAGAGAGAGACAAAGGAAGAACAAAGAACUUGUGUCCGACAGAUAAUGCAAGUGAUUCUGCUGCAGUUGUCAGUAAUUCUACAAAUUUGAAAGGGUCAUCACUUCUAUUAAUAUUUCGUGGAAUUGUGGGAAGGUUAUCAUAUUCUUAAAUAUAAAUGAUUCUAUUCCAGGACUCUUAUUUCUUGUCAGUGACAAACUGUAACAUGAAAACAUUCAUCACUUGCCACUAAUUACCUUUCCUAAGAAUUACAGAAAAUUAUUUGUAUCUGGAAAUUAAAGACCACAGAAUUUUAAGCUUUAGGGCUACAAGUUUGUAAACUGAAGAAUUAAAACUAUGUUGAGGUGAA